rnacentral:rRNA from 1 species
UGGGGAAUCUUGGACAAUGGGGGCAACCCUGAUCCAGCCAUGCCGCGUGAGCGAUGAAGGCCUUAGGGUUGUAAAGCUCUUUCACCGGUGAAGAUAAUGACGGUAGCCGGAGAAGAAGCCCCGGCUAACUCCGUGCCAGCAGCCGCGGUAAUACGGAGGGGGCUAGCGUUGUUCGGAAUUACUGGGCGUAAAGCGCGCGUAGGCGGGCUGUUAAGUCGGGGGUGAAAUCCCGGGGCUCAACCCCGGAACUGCCUUCGAUACUGGCAGCCUUGAGGACGGGAGAGGUGAGUGGAAUGGCGAGUGUAGAGGUGAAAUUCGUAGAUAUUCGCCGGAACACCAGUGGCGAAGGCGGCUCACUGGCCCGUAUCUGACGCUGAGGUGCGAAAGCGUGGGGAGCAAACAGGAUUAGAUACCCCCGUAGUCC